ensembl:lncRNA
CCGAAGUCGUCCUGUUGCCAGGCCUUCAACCAAACACAUCCUGCUUGGCAGCCGCUGUGUACUCAGUGUUCUAACCUUUCCCUGAACCAGUCAUCUUAAGUACAGCCUUGCAAAAUGGCGUUACUGCUGCUAAGCUGGGGUCUUUCAAUGCCUUUGUCAACAGAGAGGGCCUCUGUGGUAUGCCUUUGAGGUGAUUUCUGAGCUCUUUGUAACUUGAGCACAGUGAGAAAGAUAUGAAAUACUAACAGUGAAAAUAUAAUUUUUUGAGAGGUAGGACUAAAAGCAUAAAAUAACUCCACAGGAUGGGGUCAGGUUGAGUGAGCAUGAUACUCCAAAGUCCCACCUCUUCUGUUCUAGGGACUUUUUAUUCAUCAAAAUAUAUGGAUAUGGAGUACUUUUAGAAGGGGUUAUCAUUUUAGGCUGUGGCAGAUGAUUCACUGGUUUUGGAGCAGGUUUGUAUAAUCCUUGAGAUGGUCCAGAACUAUUCUCUAAUGUGUUUUCUUGAGUGUUGAAUUCUCAGAUUAAUGUCUAUGUGGCUUAUAGUCUUCUGUGUGUGGCUUUAUUUUUCUACUUUUGAGAGACCCCGGCUUAGCAACAGUAACGCCAUUUUACAAGGCUGUACUUAGAUGACUGGUUCAGGGAAGGGUCAAAACACUGAGAACACUGCGGCUGCCAAACAGGAUGUUUGUAGUUGAGUGCCUGACAACAAAAGAAAGAAAUGUAAAGCCCUGGGAGAGGUCCCACACCCUAGUGGAGGGCCAAGUCAGCCAUUAUGUUCCAGGAAGGCGGCCAGGGAACUUGCCCUUUGGCUGAACCCUCGCCUCAUUAGAAUCCACCAAUUAUGUCCCUGUAACCAUGCAUCUGCUUCUGUAUGCUUGCUUCUGCUCCCCAGAACCCUAUAAAAAAACCCGUCCCUGGUUCCGCGGGGCGCGCCAGUCCCUCGAGUAGACUGAAGCGCCCACAAGAGCCUGUGUAUCCUGAAAGUAAACCCUCUUGCUGAUUGCAUCCGGUGGUCUCGGUCUGGUCAAUGGGCUUGAGGGUCUCCUUCCUGAGAAAAAGUUCUACUUUUCAUUUGGGGUCUCAUCUGGAAUCCGGAGAUCCUCCACCCAGGAGCCACCGACUACCCACCGGGAGGUCUUCUUUACCACUGAGGAAAGAUAGAAUCCUACUAAAGGCCAGAAAAAAAAAGUUCCAGACACGGAUGAAAGGCCCUCACUUCUGCCUGUUGGAUUCAAUACGCCUAAAGGCCGAGGCUACCUUGUCUACCGAUGAGAACAGUUCUCUUCCUAAAAUUCAGAGAUAAGUGCAUGCUACAAUGAAGGACAACACAAAUGUCAUCUGGAAUGGACAAACCUAUACCCCCCAGCACAUCAGCGCCACAGAUGUCUUACCAUCUCUUGGAUGCCCUGAUGAAGCCAACAACUGUGAGUAUUAUUCAUUGCCCAGGACAUCAGGAAGGAAGAGAUUCAGUGACAUGGGGCAGUAACAAAGCAGAUAAAGUGGCUCGGGAAAUGGCUAUACAGGAGCCUAUCCUGGUUACAGGCCUACAAGAGACAGCCACUGGGAACUGGGAUUGGACUAAGGGAUGGCCUCACUUAGAAUGUACAACAGAAGAAAAGGCCCAAAUUGCUUAAAAAAAAGACAAUGACACACUUGAGGAAAAACUAUAUUCCUCAGAGAACAAACAAAAGACUCACUUUGCCAAAUACAGAAAUGGACUCACUUAGAUAAGAAGCUUGUCCAAGUAGUUAAGGUGUAUAUAAAAGACUUUAAGAUUCUAGCCAGAGAGACAAUAAAAAAUAUAAGAUAUGUCAGUAAGUAAAUGCUUAGCAAACAAACAGGGCAAAGAGACCUAGAGAGUUUAAUAAAAAGUCGAAGUAAACUAUGCUGAGAAAAGUAUGAUCACAAGUAUCUCCUAGUGUUUGUAGAUACCUUUCCAGGAAUAGAUAAAAGCUUUCCUCACUAAGCAAGAGACGGCCUCGAUAGUCAUCCAGAAGAUACUAGAAGAAAUCUUCCCCUGAUUUGGAAUGCCCAAGGUAAUCUGGUCAGACAAUGGCCCUACUUUCAUUGCCAAGGUAAGCCAGAGUGUGGCCAAGUAUUUAGAGGUCGAUUAAAAAUUACAUUGUAUCUACAGACCUCAAAGUUCAAGACAGAGUAAAUAGAUAAAGCUCUAAAAGAGACCCUGACCAAAUUAACCAUGGAGACUGGCACAGACUGGGUGAUACUCCUUCCCUCUCGCUCUCUUCAGAGCAAGAAAUCUCCCUUCUAGAUUCAGCCUAACCCCCUUUGAGAUCUUAUAUGGGGCCUCAGCUCCUCUGACUGUAUUAGAUGAUGUUACUGAACCAACAUGUUAUAGUAAUAAGGAUUUGUAUUCCAGGCUAAAAGACCUACAGGUGAUACAGAAAAAAAUCUGCUCACAGCUGACAACAGCCUAUACCCCGGGGACCCCCGAGACAUCUCAUCAGUUCCAGGUCGGAGACUGCAGCUACAUACAGCGACAUGGAGCCCAGACACUCAAGCCUCGCUAGAAAGGACCGUACCUGGUGCUGCUGACCACCCUGACAGCCAUCAAGUCUCAGCCCUCACCAGCUGUAUACUAGCUGUUGGGGCUGAGAGCUGGGACCUAGAGGGACACUCAGAUCUUCAAAGCUCCCUAGACUUGCACAUCAGACAUCAGAGACGUGACUGGGAAGUUGCUAUAAUGCUCACUUGAAGAGUGUGCUUUAGAAACAAGAAUUUCAUGUUUGCCCUGGGUUCCAUCGAGAUAGAUAUAGACAUAGGCUUGAUUUCUAUUACAAAUGAUAUAACAUUACAUAUGUUAGUACUCCUAACACUUCUUGAGACUGUGCCUCAGGGAUCACAAUCUAUAUAAGUUUAGAAGUUCUAAAAGACAGUUAUGACCUUGGUGUAUAGGUUCAGAUAGUGUCCAGAUUAGAAUCUUGAUGCUAAAGACUUAAUAAGACAAAAAAAAAAAGAGUUGAGAAUUACUUAAGGCUAUCUAGGUGCUACAAGGACAGCACAAGGACAUCUGCUGUUGCCCUACAAUACAAGGCUUAUGGAGAAUUCAGACCUGCCAUUGACUCAGAUAUAAAAAGAGUAAAAAAGACUUUUUAGAUGACCUCCAAGAAUACCUAACCUCCCUCUCAGAGGUAGUCCUUCAGAAUAAGAAAAGAUUAGACCUGAUAUUCCUUAAAGAAAGAGUCUGUGUGCUACACUUAAAGAAGCUAUACAGAUCAGACAGGAAUAAUAAGAGAUAAUAUGGCUAAGCUCCGAGAACGCUUAGCCCAGAGAUAAAAGUUGUUUGAUUCCCAACAAGGGUGGUUUGAGGGGUGGUUUAACUGAUCCCCUUGGUUUGCUACCCUCCUGUCUACCCUGAUGGGACCCCUACUUAUUCUCCUAAUUCUCCUAUUUGGACCCUGUAUCCUUAACAGGCUGGUACAGUUCAUGAGGGAUAGACUUUCAGUCAUUCAGACUCUCGUACUGACACAACAGUACCAUAGGCUGAGACAACAAGAAACAAAGAUCUCUUAACCAAGUUAAGUGAAAGAUUUCACUCAAAGUUAGCAGAAAAAAAAUGAGGAAAUGAGAGACCCUAGCUUAGCAACAGUAACACCAUUUUACAAGGCUGUACUUAGAUGACUGGUUCAGGGAAGGGUCAAAACACUGAGAACACUGCGGCUGCCAAACAGGAUGUUUGUAGUUGAGUGCCUGACAACAAAAGAAAGAAAUGUAAAGCCCUGGGAGAGGUCCCACACCCUAGUGGAGGGCCAAGUCAGCCAUUAUGUUCCAGGAAGGCGGCCAGGGAACUUGCCCCUGGGCUGAACCCUCACCUCCUUAGAAUCCACCAAUUAUGUCCCUGUAACCACGCAUCUGCUUCUGUAUGCUUGCUUCUGCUCCCCAGAACCCUAUAAAAAAACCCGUCCCUGGUUCCGCGGGGCGCGCCAGUCCCUCGAGUUGACUGAAGCGCCCACAGGUGCCUGUGUAUCCUGAAAGUAAACCCUCUUGCUGAUUGUAUCUCUCUGAGAACUUUUCACUUUGUCUGUUCUUGAGUGACAUGUACUUGAAAAUCUUUAUAAGAAGCUGAGGCACAGGAAAUCUCAUCCCCAGUAACUGCUAACAAUACAAACACAUAUUAUCUCUAUUAGGGAUCACGAUUUCUCACUUUAAAUUAUCUAGCUGACACUGUACUUGAAUCUUGUUCCAGAAUUGAUCUGAAAACCUGAUAUGAUAGUAGGAGUUUAAUAUCAUCUUGGUAAGAAGAAUGCAAUUGAUUUAGGAUUUUGAUUGACAAAAUUUGAAGAAUAGGACUAGAAAAAACAUAAAGACGGACCCUGGGAAGAUAAGCAACCAAGACAUCUGAUAUCAAACUAUAUAACAUGAGUCCUGUGAUUCAGAUAGUUGCUCAAUUUUCUGGACAUUACCAAUUAAAUUUUAUCUAGAAUUUCUGAAUAAUCAUGAUUUUUAAACAUAAAACAUCAUUCUUCUUCAAGAAAGAGACACAGUCUUAAUGCUCAGUAAAUUGUGUUGAUGUUUUCCUUAGGAAUGGUUUUUAGAGAGCAACACUUUGUCUCAGCAACAGUGAGGGUUGUUUAGGGAUUUCCAUGGAUUCCCUUGGCCAACAGCUCAAUUGAAAGCAACUGAAUGUUGCCACUCGUGGCUUCACCUGGCAUCAAGAGACAGUCAAAUUCAUGUGAAAGAUUUUCCUUUCUUUUAUUGUUUCUUAACUCUAUCGAUCUCCAUUACAUUCUUAUACCUUUUUAUAUUAUACAUCCUUGAUGGUUCAUUUAUAGUUUUCUUUUUUCAGUUAAAGUUUAUAAAUAAUUUUAUUAAUAAAAUAAGGUUUCAAUAUAAACAAAGGAAUCCUUAUCUUAAACACUGGGACGCCAUACUAGCAGUAUUUUCUAUAAAUUUAAAUUUGUCAGAAAGUCAAGCCCUUUUAUAACAUAUUUAAAGCCUUGUUUAAAAAAUUAUUUCUGUUUCUUAAUUUGGACUCACCAAAUGGCAGGACAAAGUUUUGGAAUUUGUACCUUUAUUUUGUAAUUUUCCCCUCCACUUUAGUUGCCUGAUUGUCUCCUCAAGCAAUCAUAUUAAUUUCUGAGGCAGACAUAGUAGCAUGGGUAUGUUACUAUUUCAAUUCUCAGACUAGCAAGGCCUCACAGGACUCUCCAUUCAAAUUAAAGGUAGCAAAUUUGGGUCUCACCGACUUGAUCUGGGGGCAACUAGCUGAAACAGUAGGCAAACUCUCUGCCACACAAGACAGAAUAUCUGAGUUAGGUCUUUGAAAUACAUUUGAAAGCAGAAGGAAAGAACAAACUCUGCAAAGUUGUUCCCAGACCUCCAUAGUUAUUACAUGCAUCACAGAACUGUACUAUAUACAUACUCAGGAAUGGUAUAUAUAUGGAUAUUGUGGCAGUUCUAGAUAUUUUUGAG